rnacentral:rRNA from 1 species
GGCCCCUGCGUAUUAUAUCCGGACACAGAGUGCCGCUGGCUAUAGCUAAGAUUUAACAUCCCUCGCGGAGUUGUAAUUUGAAGGAGGUAGGCUACGCGCGGCAACGGCCCAAGUCCAUUGGAACAUGGCGCCAGGGAGGGUGAGAGCCCCGUCCGGCCACGCGCCGCGUCCGCAGUCUGCCCCCGACGAGUCGAGUUGUUUGGGAAUGCAGCUCAAAGUGGGUGGUAAAUUCCAUCUAAAGCUAAAUAUUGGCGAGAGACCGAUAGCGAACAAGUACAGUGAUGGAAAGAUGAAAAGCACUUUGAAAAGAGAGUGAAACAGUACGUGAAAUUGUUGAAAGGGAAGGGCUUGCAAGCAGACACGGCUUUUGCCGGGCCAGCAUCGGUUUGGGGAGGCGGACAACCGCGGGAGCAUGUGGCGCACCUCGGUGCGUGUUAUAGCUCCCGUCCAUACGCCUUCCCCAGUCCGAGGCCUGCGUUCUAAACUAGGAUGCUGGCGUAAUGGUUGCAAGCC